CUGGCGGGAUUGAUUCGCCAGCGGGCAAACUGUUUGACACCAUGUUUGACACCAGUUUGCAAAUUGUCAUGAAUCUGUCAAAAUGAACUGACACAGCAUUCCUAUUGUUCUCAGUGUUGUUUAUGUUUAUGCUGUUCAGUCGAGAGCUCAUCGAAGUGAAAAGUGUUAAAGUGGCCUUUUUCGUGUGUUUGUGGUAAGUAAUACGUACGUAUGUGUAUAAACAUACCGAAGACUAAUCUUGGUAUGUAUUGUGUCGUUUUCAGGUGAAUGGAUCCAUCCAUUCUUGGGUUUUUGGCCAAUGCGACGGCAAUCUUUACAAGGAAAGAUUGGUCCAUUGCCACCCAUAAAGUUCCCGGGACAACCGUGAUGAACAUCUUGGCGGAGCAAGAUGAAAUCAGAUUGGCCAAUUAAAGCAAAGUGGGCGAUCCCCUCCCGGCAGUUCUGCAGGUGGGGAAAAUGAGGUGAAAUGCUCAAUACCUCGCAUUUUCCGCCGGUCCUGCCAACCCCGGUAUGGAUCCCCGAUGAUAAAUCAUGAUCAUCUUCCUAUCAGCGAUGUCUGCCGCCGGCGACUGGGGAAAUGCUGGUACUCCCGCGCCUCACCGGAGAUAUGGCAAACUGCCGAAGAUUUUGGAAGUGAAGAGGAAAUAAAAAUAAACUUUUUUCUUGAUAUGAU